rnacentral:rRNA from 1 species
UCAGUCAGCGCAGCGUAAUAACAGAAACUAACCAGGAUUCCCUUAGUAACGGCGAGUGAACUGGGAUACCAAUAUAUUUAUGCGUCUCUGGCGCAUAUUUUUAGCCCGUCGAUACUAUCCUAGCGUAUUACCGGUUUCGGCCGGUAGCCCAAUACGCGGGAAUUGUAGCAUCGUAAUAAAAUAUACACCAUGCCUGCGUCGCAAACGUAUAUACACGUAUACUCACACACACACACAUACUCUCGUACGCGUACACACCCCCUUGCAAACACACAGCGCUCCCGCGUUGGAAAGCAAGUCUAUAUCCUCUUUGGAUAUGCCAUAGAGUGUGACAGCCACGUUUGAAACACCCUACGUACCGUACACACACAUACGUAAAAAAUACGCGCUGCUUCGCAUACGCAUACCGUAUAUAACCUGAGUCGAGUUAUUUGGGACUAUAGCUCUAAUAGUUUGGUUGGUGGUAAUGACACAUCAAAGGCUAAAUAUUGGUUAGUCGAUGCAUUUUACGGAGACCGAUAGCAUACAAGUACCGUAAGGGAACGAUGAAAAGCACCCUAUUAAGUUCACGGUGUCGGCCGCGUACAAUUCGUUGUACAACGCCGCGUCCAACAACUACAGUGGGAGUGAAAGAGAGAGU